rnacentral:lncRNA from 1 species
UUACAAGUCAAUCAUAACCCCAUCAUGUUCAUUUCUUGGCUCGAACCUCACAAGAAGAGACGUUCACGGUUACACACACGGUUGGUGUAUUUUUAUUGAUUUAGUACAACCGGAUAUUAUAAAUUUCCAAGUGACUACAUAACCGCGGGCGCAGUUUUCUGAAAUAUUUAACCCUCCUAGUGUGCUCCAAGUAGUCCAUCACAAAUUAACACACACAUCCGAUGGAAAACCUCACAACGUGAUAACACGAUGCCUAUAAGGAAUCUCAGUGAAAAAGUCACUCGUCAAAGGUAAAACUAAACCAGCAAGACCAACUAAUGUGUCGUCGUAUCCAAUAGAAGUCAUAUCUC